CCUACGGGGAGCAGCAGUGAGGAAUAUUGGUCAAUGGCCGUAAGGCUGAACCAGCCAAGUCGCGUGAAGGAAGAAUGAUCUAUGGUUUGUAAACUUCUUUUAUCGGGGAAUAAAGGUAUCCACGUGUGGAUAUUUGCAUGUACCCUAUGAAUAAGCAUCGGCUAACUCCGUGCCAGCAGCCGUGGUAAUUCGGAGGAUGCGAGCGUUAUCCGGAUUUGUUGGGGUUUAAGGGUGGGUGGGUUGUUUUUUCAGUCAACGGUUAAAGUUUGUGGCUCAACCAUAAAAUUGCCGUUGAAACUGGAAGACUUGAGUGUGUUUGAGGUAGGCGGAAUGCGUGGUGGAGCGGUGAAAUGCAUAGAUAUCACGCAGAACUCCGAUUGCGAAGGCAGCUUACUAAGCCAUAACUGACACUGAAGCACGAAAGCGUGGGUAUCGAACAGGAUUAGAUACCCUUGUAGUC
rnacentral:rRNA from 1 species